CCUACGGGAGGCAGCAGUGGGGAAUAUUGCACAAUGGGGGGAACCCUGAUGCAGCGACGCCGCGUGAGUGAAGAAGUAUUUCGGUAUGUAAAGCUCUAUCAGCAGGGAAGAAAAUGACGGUACCUGACUAAGAAGCCCCGUCUAACUACGUGCCAGCAGCCGCGGUAAUACGUAGGGGGCAAGCGUUAUCCGGAUUUACUGGGUGUAAAGGGAGCGCAGACGGCUGUGCAAGUCUGGAGUGAAAGGCUGGGGCCCAACCCCCGGACUGCUCUGGGAACUGUAAAGCUGGAGUGCAGGAGAGGGAAGCGGAAUUGCUAGGGUAGCGGUGAAAUGCGAAGAUAUUAGGAGGAAAACCAGUGGCGAAGGCGGCUUACUGGACUGAAACGGACGUUGAGGGUCGAAAGCGUGGGGAGCAAACAGGAUUAGAUACCCCGGGUAGUC
rnacentral:rRNA from 1 species